CCUACGGGAGGCAGCAGUAGGGAAUCUUCCGCAAUGGACGAAAGUCUGACGGAGCAACGCCGCGUGAGUGAUGAAGGUUUUCGGAUCGUAAAACUCUGUUGUCAGGGAAGAACAAGUGCCGUUUAAAUAAGGCGGCACCUUGACGGUACCUGACCAGAAAGCCCCGGCUAACUACGUGCCAGCAGCCGCGGUAAU
rnacentral:rRNA from 1 species